AAUUCUCAAUCUCUACAGCUUUUGUUGUUUAGUAGAUUGGAUGUGGAGGUUCUUUGUGUGGGAUGAAAAUCCCUCACUCCUCUUAAAUGUAUUAGCUGGAAUGCCUCUGCAUAUCUGACUAUCAGUGUGAUAAUUAUCUAUACUGUAGUUGUUGCAUGAGGGUAUCUGCUUCAUUAACCGUCGCAAGACAACUCUAAUGACCA
rnacentral:misc_RNA from 1 species